rnacentral:rRNA from 1 species
AUUGAACGCUGGCGGCAUGCCUUACACAUGCAAGUCGAACGGUAACGGGCCUUCGGGUGCCGACGAGUGGCGAACGGGUGAGUAAUACAUCGGAACGUGCCCGAUCGUGGGGGAUAACGAGGCGAAAGCUUUGCUAAUACCGCAUACGAUCUACGGAUGAAGGCAGGGGACCGCAAGGCCUUGCGCGGAUGGAGCGGCCGAUGGCAGAUUAGGUAGUUGGUGGGAUAAAAGCUUACCAAGCCGACGAUCUGUAGCUGGUCUGAGAGGAUGAUCAGCCACACUGGGACUGAGACACGGCCCAGACUCCUACGGGAGGCAGCAGUGGGGAAUUUUGGACAAUGGGCGCAAGCCUGAUCCAGCCAUGCCGCGUGCAGGAUGAAGGCCUUCGGGUUGUAAACUGCUUUUGUACGGAACGAAAAGCCUUCUUUUAAUACAGGAGGGUCAUGACGGUACCGUAAGAAUAAGCACCGGCUAACUACGUG